rnacentral:rRNA from 1 species
UACGAAGGGGGCUAGCGUUGCUCGGAAUGACUGGGCGUAAAGGGCGCGUAGGCGGAUGGCACAGUCAGAUGUGAAAUUCCCGGGCUUAACCUGGGGCUGCAUUUGAUACGUGUGGGCUUGAGUGAGGAAGAGGGUUGUGGAAUUCCCAGUGUAGAGGUGAAAUUCGUAGAUAUUGGGAAGAACACCGGUGGCGAAGGCGGCAACCUGGUCCUUGACUGACGCUGAGGCGCGAAAGCGUGGGGAGCAAACAGG